rnacentral:rRNA from 1 species
CCUACGGGGGGCAGCAGUGGGGAAUAUUGCGCAAUGGGCGAAAGCCUGACGCAGCGACGCAGCGUGAGGGAUGAAGGUCUUCGGAUCGUAAACCUCUGUCAGCAGGGAAGAACGGUCACUGUGCUAAUCAGCAGUGAAUUGACGGUACCUGCAAAGGAAGCACCGGCUAACUCCGUGCCAGCAGCCGCGGUAAUACGAAGGUUGCGAGCGUUAACCGGAAUUACUGGGCGUAAAGCGCUCGUAGGCGGUAUGUCAAGUCAAGGGUGAAAUCCCCGCGCUCAACGUGGGAACUGCCUUUGAAACUGGCAAACUUGAGUGUGUGAGAGGAUAGUGGAAUUGCAGGUGUAGGAGUGAAAUCCGUAGAUAUCUGGAGGAACAUCAGUGGCGAAGGCGACUAUCUGGCACAUAACUGACGCUGAGGAGCGAAAGCGUGGGUAGCAAACAGGAUUAGAUACCCUAGUAGUC